rnacentral:lncRNA from 1 species
CCACCGAUUGCUCUGCCAGUGGGUGUUGCUACUGGGUUUGUUACUGUUGGAGGCUUUUGACUGCCUCCAUGAGUACAUUCAUCUGCUGCAUGAGUGCAACGAUCUGGACGUCCGUGGUGAUCACAGGAUGUGAAGAACUAGGCUCUGCUACUGGAGGAGGGGGAGGAACCUCUUCCUGAUGGGAAGAAUAUCUCGCCGACCCGAAUACAGUAGAAUGCUGGGCC